AUAGUUACCUGGCCCACUUCUUUCCCGUCAUCAGCUCAUGUGUGCGUCUGGAGUAUUUGUACAUCUAGAAUAUUAAUUUCAUUUGUGGCUGCAAUAUGGGUAACAAACAAACAAAACAUACAAUGAUAUUACCAUAAAAAUAUACAGUGGAAAAGUACAGUAAUACCAUGUUGUUUUCUUGACAUAUGAAUAUGAUAACAGCCAUUAAAUACCUAAUAUUACCUAUUUUGGUGAUGCUGAGUGCAAAAUAUCAAUAAAAACUUUUAAUCAUGUAGUUCUUUCACAAGUUUGUUUGACUUGUGUAGGCUUUGUAUUAGCUUUAAUGCACUUAUUAAAAUAAGACAUAAAAUAAUAUCUGCAGAAUCAUUCAUACAUGUAAAAAAUCAGCUGAGAAUUAAACAAAUAGUUCUAAUCUACUCAGAUUCAGACAGGAAUCAUGUGUUUGUCGCAGUUUUUCUGCUGAGUAAGGGAGAAUACAAGACUUCUUCACUUUAUAAAUGGUUGUCACAAGCAAAAAUGCUACGAAAUCCAUGGUAUUUUGUGAUGAUGUGCUUAAGCAAAACAGGCACUGUUUUUGGAAUCAGCAGCCAAAAAUUAGUAUGAAACAAGUUUUGGAUUUCAUUGUGGAAAUGAUGGAGGGUGGUGUAAUCAUGACGUACUAUAGAAGAUAUCUCUUUGUAAUAUAGUAUUUUAUUCAUACACGUAUAAACUAUAUUGCCAAAAGUACUUGGACAGCCCUUCUAAUGAACAGGUCUGUCUACUUUAGUAGAGUACAAAUCUUAAUGUUUAAGCAUAUAAUGAUAUUCUAGGGAAUUGUGUUUCUAAUUUUAUAGCAACAGUUUGGACAGGACCCUUUUUGUAUUCUAACAUGACAAUGCCUCAAGGCCUCUUCUCUUUCAAGGUUCAAAGAGAAAUGAUUGAUUCAGUCAGUGUGGAAGAACUUGACAGGUCUGCAGAAAGCCAGCUUAAUGCAGGCCUUGAGCCAAAAACUCAUCAUCAAACACCAAUGACUUGUACAUACUGUAUGUUUUGUAUGUGUUUUACAUGUUUCCCAUCACUUACAGGGGCACCCAGGAACCCCAGGAGAGAGCGGCCCACCAGGACCAGCAGGCAGUCCAGGCCCACUGGGAUCACGUGGACCCAUCGGCUUGAGAGGACCUAA
rnacentral:lncRNA from 12 species